GACGAAGGAUGCAAGCGUUAUCCGGAUUCAUUGGGUUUAAAGGGUGCGUAGGCGGCCAGAUAAGUCAGGGGUGAAAUCUCCUUGCUUAACAAGGAAACUGCCAUUGAUACUGUUUGGCUUGAGUAUAGUUGCUGUGGGCGGAAUAUGACAUGUAGUGGUGAAAUACAUAGAGAUGUCAUAGAACACCGAUUGCGAAGGCAGCUCACAAAACUAUAACUGACGCUGAGGCACGAAAGUGCGGGGAUCAAACAGG
rnacentral:rRNA from 1 species